rnacentral:rRNA from 1 species
AGGACGAACGCUGGCGGCGUGCUUAACACAUGCAAGUCGAGCGGAAAGGCCUUUCGGGGUACUCGAGCGGCGAACGGGUGAGUAACACGUGAGUAAUCUGCCCAUCGCUUCAGGAUAGCCAUCGGAAACGGUGAUUAAUACUGGAUAUGACAUUCCUUCGCAUGUUGGGGUGUGGAAAGUUUUUUCGGCGGUGGAUGUGCUCGCGGCCUAUCAGCUUGUUGGUGGGGUAAUGGCCUACCAAGGCUUUGACGGGUAGCCGGCCUGAGAGGGUGACCGGCCACACUGGGGGCUGAGACACGGCCCAGACUCCUACGGGAGCAGCAGUGGGGAAUAGUUGGACAAUGGGCGAAGCCUGAUCAGCAACGCCGCGUGAGG